GUGGAAGCAAAGGGGAGAGACAGAAAGAAACAUUGAUGUGAGACACAUUGAUUGGUUGCCUCCUGCACACUCCCGGACCCUGGCUGAGGAUCGAGCUUGCAAAGGACGUUUGUGCCCUUGACCAGAAUAGAACUGUGACCCUUCAGUCUGAGGGCCAAUGCUGUAACCACUGGGCAACCGGCUAGGGCUAAAGCAAGCCAUUAUAGAGGCAGCGUGCACUCGGAGCAGCAAGAGUGUCACCACCAAACUCCCUCCCCAGGACCGACACCCAGCAUUUCAGCACCAGGCACCAGAGCUUCGAGCUGCGUCUAAUCUUGAAAGCUGUUGAAGUUACUGUUGGUUCUGCUAGUAGUAAAGGAGUCUCUUUAAGUUGGCAUCCAGUAAUGGAUAAGAUGGAGUCUAUUGCUUGAGUGGAUUGAUGGGUGUUUAAAGCAUGG